rnacentral:lncRNA from 1 species
UAGGGAUGUCAACAGGUUGGAUUUGAGUUGGGUUUUCAAACACUCAAAUCCAAACCUGAAAACCAAAUUAAAACCCGAACCCCGACCCGAAUCCGGCGGAUUUUAAACAUCCGUACCCAUAUCCGAACCCGACUAAAAACCCGAAACCCAAACCCCGAAAACCCGAACCCGAAAUAAUGAUUUCCCUUUAUCAUAUUUAAAAUCAAAAUUUUCAAAAUAAAAUUUUCAAAACACAAUCAAAUAAAAUAUUAAAAUAUUCAUGCCAUACAAUAUCAAUAUCUGGAUAAA